GGAAAGGUUGACGGAAUCAGGUAACGUGCCGGUCCGCUAAACCGAGGCUGCGAUCAUUCGCAUGCGCGUUCGAAUCGCGCACUUUCCGCCA
rnacentral:tRNA from 1 species